UCACAAUGGUGGCAGCGAAAGUCCGGGGAAGCAGAGGACCAGCGUCUUUCUUCUUAUAACCUGCGCUCGCAAAGCUCGGCCGCUGUCAGCCUAGGCCCAUUCCCCGAGGGAGACCACGCGAACCCAUUAGGCUGUGACCCAGUUCUGUCCACAAGGUCCCACCCCCUAAAGGUCCCAGCACUCCCAACAGCUCCACACCGGGGCCAAACUUCGAGGCGGACCCCAGAUCCACACCAUGGCAGGGUUAAAUGCAUUUUGGUUGCAUCGAAGGAAGGGAGAUGCGGGAGAGAAGGGAAAAGAAGAUACCAUUCCCGCCUUAAGGAGCGGACAGCCAGGGAGGGAGAACAAGUACAGGACUACUACGAAAACAAUUCUGCGCUGACCAGGAAGGACCGGGACUCGCCACCGCAGGGGUGAGGCCGGGGGACGAAGCUGGCCUGGGAAGGCGCAGAGAGCUUCUUGCAGGAGACGAAUCUGCCUGCCUUGCAGAAGUGGGGCUUGGGAGAGUUUGACUCGCAGUUAACCGGCUUCCUACCCGGGCUGACAACGGAGCGACCCAAAGCAGGGCGAGGCGAAAAGUCAGCGGCUCUGGAAAUCGCAGCCGCAGCCCAGCGUGCCGUGGUGACAGCAUCUUGUCAGAGCGGUGCACGCGGUUGUCGUUUCGUAGCCAUAGUUCCGAGGCAAAUUACAACGAACACAAACUUUCGCAAGGCGUCCUGGCCAUAUUCCGGCUCACACCCGUGGUCUCACUGUGGGCGCCAAGCGCUCACCGCCUGGAGACUCUUCCCGUUCGCCCUCAAGCACAGGCAGCAGUCGCAACCCAGUGACAAGGCCGCCUCACCUCGCACCUGACAUGAUUUGGAAGAGGUCGGCCUUGUGCUCACAGACAGUUUUGGGCACAUCUUGCAUAAUUACCUAAAAAAGGUAUGGAAAAGAGGCCCUGGUAAACACUAGCAAAGAGCACUGCUAAUAGAAUCAGUUGGAGGAUUUGGUCUAAAUCAGAGCACUUGGAUCUCAAGC
rnacentral:lncRNA from 1 species